GCCCAUUGUACUUUACAAAACUUCUUCUAGAAUUGUUCAUUCUAAUGGUUCAUUCAAGACUUCAAGAGAGUUUGAGGCUUAUGAGAUUUGUCUUUAGAAUGAGAAAGAACAGCAGGCUUACACCAAAACAACACGGAAAAGAGAAAGCCACACGACCUCACUCUCUGAGACAGCAAAUCACGAGUGAAUUCAAAGCAGAGCUCAUUCUGUAUGUUCCUAAACCAAGUGUCAUUUGCAUCGUGUGACGAGGAG
rnacentral:lncRNA from 1 species